CUGGCUCAGGAUGAACGCUAGCGACAGGCCUAACACAUGCAAGGUCGAGGGGCAGCGCGGGAGAAGCUUGCUUUCCUGGCGGCGACCGGCGCACGGGUGCGUAACAGGUGUGCAAUCUGUCCAUAGUCGGGGGAUAGCCCAGCGAAAGCUGAAUUAAUACUCCAUGUGAAUCGAAGCCGCAUGACUUUGAUUUGAAACGCAAGGACUAUGGGUGAGCACGCUUCUGAUUAGGUAGUUGGUGGGGUAACGGCCCACCAAGCCGACGAUCAGUAGGGUUCUGAGAGGAAGGUCCCCCACAUUGGAACUGAGACACGGUCCAAACUCCUACGGGAGGCAGCAGUGAGGAAUAUUGGUCAAUGGGCGAGAGCCUGAACCAGCCAAGUCGCGUGAAGGAUGAAGGUUCUAUGGAUUGUAAACUUCUUUUGUCCGAGGGUAAAGGAGUCCACGUGUGGAUUUUUGCAAGUAUCGGGCGAAUAAGCAUCGGCUAACUCCGUGCCAGCCGCUGC
rnacentral:rRNA from 1 species